rnacentral:rRNA from 1 species
CUAUACGUGCGAGUCGAGCGACCGACGAGGUGCUUGCCCUUUGACGUUAGCGGCGAACGGGUGAGUAACACGUAAGGAAUCUACCUAUAGGUGGGGGAUAACAUCCGGAAACGGGUGCUAAUACCGCAUAAGAACCGACGCCACAUGGUGUUGGUUUGAAAGAUGGCUCUGCUGUCACUUAUAGAUGACCUUGCGGUGCAUUAGCUAGUUGGUGGGGUAAUAGCCUACCAAGGCCAUGAUGCAUAGCCGACCUGAGAGGGUGAUCGGCCACAUUGGGACUGAGACACGGCCCAAACUCCUACGGGAGGCAGCAGUAGGGAAUCUUCCGCAAUGGACGCAAGUCUGACGGAGCAACGCCGCGUGAGUGAAGAAGGUUUUCGGAUCGUAAAACUCUGUUAUAAGAGAAGAACAAGUUGUAGAGUAACUGUUGCAGCUUUGACGGUAUCUUAUCAGAAAGCCACGGCUAACUACGUGCCAGCAGCCGCGGUAAUACGUAGGUGGCAAGCGUUGUCCGGAUUUAUUGGGCGUAAAGGGAGCGCAGGUGGUUUCUUAAGUCUGAUGUGAAAGCCCACGGCUCAACCGUGGAGGGUCAUUGGAAACUGGGAAACUUGAGUACAGAAGAGGAAAGUGGAAUUCCAUGUGUAGCGGUGGAAUGCGUAGAUAUAUGGAGGAACACCAGUGGCGAAGGCGACUUUCUGGUCUGUUACUGACACUGAGGCUCG